AUUGAACGCUGGCGGCAUGCCUUACACAUGCAAGUCGAACGGCAGCACGGGUGCUUGCACCUGGUGGCGAGUGGCGAACGGGUGAGUAAUACAUCGGAACGUACCUUAUCGUGGGGGAUAACGCAGCGAAAGCUGUGCUAAUACCGCAUACGCCCUGAGGGGGAAAGCGGGGGAUCGCAAGACCUCGCGCGAUUAGAGCGGCCGAUGCCUGAUUAGCUUGUUGGUGGGGUAAAAGCCCACCAAGGCGACGAUCAGUAGCUGGUCUGAGAGGACGAUAAGCAACACUGGGACAGGGACAAGGCCCAGACUCCUACGGGAGGCAGCAGUGGGGAAUGUUGGACAAUGGGGGCAACCCUGAUCCAGCAAUGCCGCGUGAGUGAAGAAGGCCUUCGGGUUGUAAAGCUCUUUUGUCAGGGAAGAAACACCGGCUCUAACACAGUCUGGGAAUGACGGUACCUGAAGAAUAAGCACCGGCUAACUACGUGCCAGCAGCCGCCGUAA
rnacentral:rRNA from 1 species